rnacentral:rRNA from 1 species
UUAGAGUUUGAUCCUGGCUCAGGGCGAACGCUGGCGGCGUGCCUUAGACAUGCAAGUCGUGCGGUAGGCGUCCUUCGGGACGCCGAGAGCGGCGAACGGCGGAGUAACACGUGGGUAACCUGCCCCGAAGACUGGGAUAACCCGGGGAAACUCGGGCUAAUACCGGAUGUGGAUGCUCUGGCUUCGGCUGGAGCAUCUAAAGGCGCAAGCCGCUUCGGGAUGGGCCCGCGGCCUAUCAGGUAGUUGGUGAGGUAACGGCUCACCAAGCCUACGACGGGUAGCCGGUCUGAGAGGAUGAUCGGCCCGAGGGGCACUGAGACACGGGCCCCACUCCUACGGGAGGCAGCAGUCGGGAAUCUUGGGCAAUGGGCGAAAGCCUGACCCAGCGACGCCGCGUGGAGGACGAAGCCCUUCGGGGUGUAAACUCCUUUUAGUGGGGACGAACGCAGACGGUACCCACAGAAAAAGCCCCGGCUAACUACGUGCCAGCAGCCGCGGUAAUACGUAGGGGGCGAGCGUUGCCCGAAUUUACUGGGCGUAAAGGGCACGUAGGCGGUUCCGUAAGUCUGGUGUGAAAUCUCUCGGCUCAACUGGGAGGCUGCACCAGAUACUGCGGAACUCGAGGACGGGAGAGGAGAUUGGAAUUCCCGGUGUAGCGGUGAAAUGCGUUGAUAUCGGAGGAACACCAGUGGCGAAGCGAUCUCUGGCCGUUCCUGACGCUAAGUGCGAAAGCUGGGGA